rnacentral:tRNA from 1 species
GGGGACGUAGCUCAAUUGGUUAGAGUUUCGGACUGUCGAUCCGGAGGUUGCGGGUUCGAUUCCCGUCGUCCUCG